rnacentral:rRNA from 1 species
UACAGAGGGGGCAAGCGUUGUCCGGAAUUACUGGGCGUAAAGCGUGCGCAGGCGGUUGUGCAAGACAGAUGUGAAAUCCCCGGGCUCAACCUGGGAACUGCAUUUGUGACUGCACGGCUGGAGUGCGGCAGAGGGGGAUGGAAUUCCGCGUGUAGCAGUGAAAUGCGUAGAUAUGCGGAGGAACACCGAUGGCGAAGGCAAUCCCCUGGGCCUGCACUGACGCUCAUGCACGAAAGCGUGGGGAGCAAACAGG